rnacentral:lncRNA from 1 species
CCGGCCUCGAUCCAAUUGUUAUGCUCGACAUGAUAUCGGCUGCUAAACAUGUAAAUGAGCAGUUGAUAAACAAAUUGGAUUCAGAAAUAGCUGCAGUUGAGGCUUGCGAUGAGAUGGAAUCCUAAUCUUACAAUGCCAGUGGUUGUUUCUUACAUUCGAUGCUGACAUGGGAAGUCCAAGUCUGAUUUAUUUCAACUAUAGAUUAAAUCUAAUGUAACAUCUAAAAGAUCUGGUUUUGUUCAUGUGCAGCCUGGUCCAUAAUAGUUUAGAAUUGUUAAUGUUUGCGUCGGUCCCUUCACCCUUGUUACGGCUACUGCAAAUAUCUAUUCUUUUCAAAUAUGCG